rnacentral:pre_miRNA from 1 species
AGCUUUCUGGGUCCAUGCCGAGAUUUUGUCAGAUACUAAACCAUCAGGACUGAUGAGACUCCUAAGUAAAUAGGUU